CGAUAAGUUCAACUAUUGAGCGGGCUUUUCACUGUGUGGAUGUGUGUACACAUUAAGUGUGCCAACAUGGAGCGUUGCACCGUAAAACAUAGAUUGAAUUUGGUUGGACAUGUUUGUCUGAGAGCAGAAAGAAGUCGACAAAUUAUCAUGAUCAGACUGACAGACAGCGGGAGCGGAGAUAGUUGACGUUGCCACGGGUCCAGUAACUGUUGAUGUCCUUCUAGAUUUGGUGUGACGAUGGCAGUGCAAAUAAUAUCACUUGGAUUAUACAUUUUAUAGUGUACUAAAUAUAUAGAAAGCGAGCCAUAUUAUGCUCAACAAGCAGGAUUAGGAAUUUUAGUGUAGAAGAGAAGAAUAUCAAUGUUCCACUAUAAUGAAUAUGUGCUUGUGUGAUUAAUCUAUUCCCUGAAUGAUGGAUGGAUUGUAUGUUUUCGUUUCAUAUAUUCAAAGGACAGCGAAUCAGAAAAAGAUCUACAUGUUACGUGAUAUAUGGACAAUACUAUACAAAUUCAUACGGCAAAUUUAUAUGCCAUUUGGAAGCUAACAUUUAUACACAUGAUACACAUGUGAAUGUUAAAUAAAGGUAGGAUGAUAAUGAAUAAUUACUUGUAUGAUCGGAUGAUAAAUAGUGGAAUAAUACAUACAGGAGGGAGUCGAUUGUACAAUACAUAUAUGUUAAAGAUUUUUUUAAAUGACUGCAAAAUAAUCAGAUGAAGGUUUAUUUGCAAAGUGUUGUUGCUGUUAAUAUUUUUUUUAUCAAGUACAUGUAUUAAAUCAAAUAUUAAAUAUAUUGAUUGUU